rnacentral:lncRNA from 1 species
AGCCUCCUCCGCGAGUCGCGGACUCGGGGCCCGGAGGGCGGCGGGAGGUCCUGCGCUGCGGUGCGGCUAUAGCGCCCGCGCUCCCCGCGGAAGAACCGCCGAGUCGAGCGCUGAAGGUGUGGCCCACCAGCAGGAGUGUCAGAACGUGCCGAGCCGCUCGAGUCGGAGUCGCCAGAACCCCCGGAAGACGAGCCGUUCACCGGCAGGCCAACUGGGGCUCCUUCGUGUAGUGGACUGUCAGCCAAGCGUCGGGAACGCAGUGUCGUGGGUUUGCGGCUGACCGGGUGAGGAGGAUCUUUCACAGAGACCGUGCCCCUCCGUGGAGUCCAGGAACAGGUGCUGGAGGCGACGGAGGCCGAGGCAGUGGUUCCCUGGGCGGGUGUGGUGAUAGGGCAGGGGGCACUGUGGGCGGGGAUGGGGAUUCGCCCCCGUCUUCAUCUGGGGGUAGUUAAGUGGGUGUCUGCAUUCGUAAAAAUUCUUCACGUUUCUACCCUUAAGAUUAGUGCACUUCACUGCGUUACAAUACACCUCCAAAAAAGUGAAGGUGGUAACACUUCAUCCUUGAGUCCGUAUUUCCCCAUGAGCUCCAAAAUCACGCCACCAAGUUUUAGUGUAAAUUCUCUGCUUUUGUUAUAAUCGAAUCUCCUUUUUUUUUAGCUUGUUUUUGUUUUUUGUUUCUGGCUGCCCCUGCAGCAUGUGGAAAUUCCCUGGCCAGGGAUGGAACCUGGCCCGUGACCCACACCACAGCAAUCCUUAACCCACUGAGCAGGUCCACAUAUAGAUACUAGGCAGGUUCAUUACUGCUGAGGCACAAUAUAAACUCCCAGGAAUUCCUCUUUUAUUAAUAAAAAACAAGACAUGGUUUAUCUAUAGAUGCGAAGCUUUUGAAGUUUGUACUUCAAGGCUUUUUGUAGUUCUUUCUAGUUUAUAGUUAUCUUUUCAAUAACUCCUAUUUUUAUUUUUAAUUUAUACCUUUUUUUUUUGUCUUUUUAGGGCCUCAAACCUGCGUCCUCAUGGAUACUAGUCAAAUUUGUUUCCCCUGAGCCAGGACAGGAACUCCCUUCGAGGAUAUUUGUUUGUUUGAUUGUUUCAUUCUGCUUUUUUUUUUUUUCUAGGGCCACACCCACAGCGUGUGGAGGUUCACAAGCUAGGGGUCCAGUCGGAGCUGUCGCCGCCAGCCUAUACCGUAGCCACAGCCACGCAGGAUCUGAGCUGCAUCUGCACCCUACACCACAGCUCGCAGCAACACUGGAUCCCCAACCCACUGAACCAGGCCAGGGAUCGAAUUGCAACCUCAUGGUUCCUAGUCAGGUUCAUUAACCACUGAGCCAUGACAGGAACUCCGCUUCAAGGAUAUUUGGAAGCAUCUAUAUUUAUGGCCCAUCUCAGAAUGCAAAAGGUUUUUAAAAAUGUAAACCUCUUUGCCUUUUGGAGUGUAAAUAUUUGGGGGCUUAAGAGUCUGAUGCAUCUGUGUGCGACAGAGCUGGUCUCAGCAGGCACCUCACUGGGCUCUCAUGAGGGGAUUUCUUUCACGGAACCGUCUUUGGUAUGUAGCAGGUGUUCGUAGGUGUUAGUCAUUGCCGUUACUGUCUGUAUCACUGCCAUCAUCAGAGCCUGACAAGGCAAGGCUUCCAGGCCUCGCACUGCCAUGAAAGAGUUGGGCGGAGCAAGGCCUGUGCGUUGGGUCUCUGAGCCUCACUUCCUGAGUGGGCAACAUGAAAAUUGAUGCCCGCUUCAAGGGUUGCUGUGACCGUUACACCAGUGUGGAUGGGAAAGCAGUUGUUUCAAGAAGCAUCAAAGGUUAAUAAUACCUGGAACGUUUUCCAGAAGAAAGUUAAAUACAGGAUGGCCUGAUGCGUUCCCCACAGGGUGUACUCUUCGCUUCCGUUUCAUUCGUGUUCAACAAGAUGCGCGUUCAGGCCAUGCUCCAUUUCUGCAGCAAAAAAGGCACUUUGCAGCUAUAUUCUUUGCAUGUGAUGCUGAGUAGUAUUUCAGAGCCAGGCCUUAGAAACUUCAAGGCCUGGGAGUUCCUUCGUGGCUCUGGUUAACGAACCCGACUAGGAUCCGUGAGGACUCAGGUUUGAUCCCUGGCCUUGCUCAGUGGGUUAAGGAUCUGGCGUUGCUAUGAGCUGUGGUGUAGGUCACAGACAUGGCUUGGAUCCCAUCAUUUUGCUGUGGCUGUGGCAUAGGGUGGCAGCUGCAGCUCCAAUUUGACCCCUAUCCUGGGAACUUCCAUAUGCCUCUGGUAUGGCCCUAAAAAGACCAAAAAAAAAUUAGCAAAGGAGUUCCUGCUGCAGUGCAAUGAGAUUUAAGUGUCUGUAGCACCAGGACACAGGUUCAACUCCCUGCCCCUCAGAGAGGGCUAAAGGAUCCAGCAUUACCGAAGCUUCAGCGUAGGUCAGCUUCAGCUGUGUCUCAGAUCUGAUCCAUGGCCCGGGAGCUUCAUGCGCUGCAAAGUGGCCAAAAAAUUUAAAAAGGAAAAAGUUCUUGUCGUGUCUCAGCAGUAACAAACCUGAUUAGUCAUGAGGAUGUGGGUUCAAUCCCUGGCCCGGCUCAGUGGGUUAACAUUCUGCUGUUGCCAUGGGCUGUGGUGUAGGUUGCAUAUGUGGUUUGGAUUUGAUCUCUAGUCUGGGAACUUCCAUAGCCCUCCAAAAAAAAAAAAAUAAAAA